UGGCUGUACCUCUCUUAGACCUCAUUUAAGGGCUGACUACCCCUCUGGAAGGAUUUCUGGUUGGAGAUCUGUCCCUUGUGGAGUUUUUCUCUGUGAGGCUAGAUUGUCUGAGGCAGUAUCAGAAGCAGAUGCUGUGAGACGGAAGUACAGGCUGAAUCUUCCCUAUGAUAUCUGAUUAUCUUUUACUGCCAGACGGAAGGAGAAAGUUAGUCUGACAAAAUGAUGCAUGACAUGAAAGUUUAUCUGAAGCGAAGCAUCAUGCAGCGUACUCAGGAUUAAAGAGUUAAUGCUGCAGUUCCAUGGAAUGUCCGGUCACUGUUUCAUAAGAGAAUGAACAAGCUACAACCCCCAGGAGACCUCAUUUUUUUCCAUUUCCAUUUUCCAUUUGGAGGGAAAGACAAAACUGACUGCGAAUCAUGAGACUGGCUUUUUUGCUCCCUAUUUUCCCUACUCAUCUUGCCUACAGCAUUAGGGUAAGGAUUUCAGUUUUGGAAAAUCUCCCAUUUUAU